rnacentral:rRNA from 1 species
AUACGGAGGGGACUAGCGUUGUUCGGAAUUACUGGGCGUAAAGCGUACGUAGGCGGAUCAGAAAGUAUGGGGUGAAAUCCCAGGGCUCAACCCUGGAACUGCCUCAUAAACUCCUGGUCUUGAGUUCGAGAGAGGUGAGUGGAAUUCCGAGUGUAGAGGUGAAAUUCGUAGAUAUUCGGAGGAACACCAGUGGCGAAGGCGGCUCACUGGCUCGAUACUGACGCUGAGGUACGAAAGUGUGGGGAGCAAACAGGAUUAGAAACCCGUGUAGUCC